CCCCUACGGGGGGCAGGAGUGGGGAAUAUUGGACAAUGGGGGGAACCCUGAUCCAGCGACGCCGCGUGAGUGAAGAAGUAUUUCGGUAUGUAAAGCUCUAUCAGCAGGGAAGAAAAUGACGGUACCUGACUAAGAAGCCCCGGCUAACUACGUGCCAGCAGCCGCGGUAAUACGUAGGGGGCAAGCGUUAUCCGGAUUUACUGGGUGUAAAGGGAGCGUAGACGGUGCAGCAAGUCUGAUGUGAAAGAUCGGGGCUCAACCCCGGGCCUGCAUUGGAAACUGUUAAGCUGGAGUACAGGAGAGGG
rnacentral:rRNA from 1 species